rnacentral:rRNA from 1 species
AUUGAACGCUGGCGGCAGGCCUAACACAUGCAAGUCGAACGAGUGGCGGACGGGUGAGUAAUGUCUGGGAAACUGCGUGAGGGGGGGGGAAAACUACUGGAAACGGUAGCUAAUACCGCAUACCACGAUAUGUGCCGAGAUGGGAUUAGCUAGUUGGUGGGGUAACGGCUCACCAAGGCGACGAUCCCUAGCUGGUCUGAGAGGAUGACCAGCCACACUGGAACUGAGACACGGUCCAGACUCCUACGGGAGGCAGCAGUGGGGAAUAUUGCACAAUGGGCGCAAGCCUGAUGCAGCCAUGCCGCGUGUAUGAAGAAGGCCUUCGGGUUGUAAAGUACUUUCAGCGGGGAGGCGUUACCCGCAGAAGAAGCACCGGCUAACUCCGUGCCAGCAGCCGCGGUAAUAC